UUUUUAUCUAUAACUCUACAUCCGAACUCAUUUCGAUGCAGAUAUGUGAACAUCUGAUGGCUUUUCUGUCGGACGAGAACCAAAUAUGGAACUGCCAACACGAACAGAGUCGCUUCCAUAUUUUAUAGCAAGGAGAUAAUCAGAACUCAUUCCCAUAGACAAUUGUAAAGGGAUACCGAGCUCAUUUUGCAAAGACUCACGAAGAUCUGAAAGAACCUGUACUGCGUUAGGAAGAGCAAAGAUGAAUAAAAAGGAAGAAAAAGGAAAUAAUCUUAC